GGCGCCGUAGCCAAGUGGUAAGGCAGAGGUCUGCAAAACCUCCACCCCGAGUUCGAAUCUCGGCGGCGCCU
rfam:Planctomycetales bacterium 71-10 scnpilot_p_inoc_scaffold_308, whole genome shotgun sequence.